AAAACGACUCUCGGCAACGGAUAUCUCGGCUCUCGCAUCGAUGAAAAACGUAGCGAAAUGCGAUACUUGGUGUGAAUUGCAGAAUCCCGUGAACCAUCAAGUCUUUGAACGCAAGUUGCGCCCGAAGCCAUUAGGCCGAGGGCACGUCUGCCUGGGCGUCA
rnacentral:rRNA from 1 species